UUUCCGUAGGUGAACCUGCGGAAGGAUCAUUACUGAAGUGAGUCUUCAUCAUUGAAGCUUCUUCCCAUUGUGCUGGCUUUGACCGUAUGUAAUGUUGGGGAUUAGACAUGGUUGAAAUUUUUUUUAGCCGUCCCCAACAAUUUAUCUUAUCCUUUAUUAAAUUGAACUGAACUCAUUUUGAGAUUACAUAAAAAAUAAUCUUUUAAUACAACUUUCAACAACGGAUCUCUUGGUUCUC
rnacentral:misc_RNA from 1 species